CCUACGGGAGGCAGCAGUGAGGAAUAUUGGUCAAUGGGCGCGAGCCUGAACCAGCCAAGUCGCGUGAGGGAAGACGGCCCUAUGGAUUGUAAACCUCUUUUGUCGGGGAGCAAACGACGCCACGCGUGGCCUUCCGCGAGUACCCGAAGAAAAAGCAUCGGCAAACUCCGUGCCAGCAGCCGCGGUAAUACGGGGGAUGCGAGCGUUAUCCGGAUCUAUUGGGUUAAAGGGGUGCGCAGGCGGAAGAUCAAGUCAGCGGUAAAAUUGAGAGGCUCAACCUCUACGAGCCGUUGAAACUGGUUUGCUUGAGUGAGCGAGAAGUAUGCAGAAUGCGUGGUGUAGCGGUGAAAUGCAUAGAUAUCACGCAGAACUCCGAUUGCGAAGGCAGCAUACCGGGGCUCAACUGACGCUCAUGCACGAAAGUGUGGGUAUCGAACAGGAUUAGAUACCCUAGUAGUC
rnacentral:rRNA from 1 species